rnacentral:lncRNA from 1 species
UCCUGGCCCAACCGAAAAAAAAACAUUAGCCCAAACCAUUUUCUUUCUUUUCUUUUCUUUUUUUUUUCUCUUCUUCUUCUUUCUUUUCUUUCUUCCCCGUUCGUUCCGUCUCUUCUUCUUCCCAGGCGAGCUGAAGCUUCAGCUUCAGCUGGCGGCCAUGGUGGUCGCCGGUGGCGCCGCCGCCGCCGACCGCCACCGCCGGUGACCUCUCCGGUCACCAAAAAUCCUCAAAAUACACCCCCUCACUCGAUUUUUCGCGUAGGUUCCAUUUCCGGAUUUAGUUUUUACCAAAGGCGACCCAAAAGUGGCCAAAAUAUCAAAAUACAGUCCAGUUUUUAUUUUUUUUAAAAACACCCAAAUCUUCACCAAAAAUCAUAAAAUUUAUGCUAAAACGCUCCUUAUAGCUUCUACAUUACAGCUAUAAUCUUAGUUUGACAAGAAGACAACAUAAAAGGGCUAAAAUAAAGUAAAACAGCCCUCUAAAAUUCUCUUUUUUUUUAUUUUGGCAUUUUUUCAAUCAGUUAACAUGCAUAUACAAAAAUAAUCUUUCUUCUCCUCAGUCUAAUCUUGGACAGGCCCAAAAACAUCACAACAACAAAACCAACAAGAGAAAGGGACAAAGCAGCACCUAAACACUUUUUAAUCUAAUUAAUUGAGGAGAAGAAAAACUGGAAAAAAAGGAAACAAAAUGUACCUCAAUGGAGAUUGCAGUCCUUUGUCUAAGUUUUUGAUGAAAUUUGUCAAGCUCCAAUAGCCCAACCCGUCGCUGCCUCCCUUUUGUUGUCUGCAAGGGUGUUGUGGAAAUAUUGGGAGAGAGGAGGUCCGAGAGAUGUAUUCAGAGGGAAAAAAAAUUGGAGUCUUGGUUUUGUUGAGAGCAAAAGAAAAUGGCCGAGAG